CAAUAAGCGGAGGAAAAGAAACUAACAAGGAUUCCCCUAGUAACGGCGAGUGAAGCGGGAAGAGCUCAAAUUUGUAAUCUGGCACUUUCAGUGUCCGAGUUGUAAUCUCGAGAAGUGUUUUCCGCGCCGGACCGCAUACAAGUCUGUUGGAAUACAGCGUCAUAGUGGUGAGAACCCCGUAACUGAUGCGGAUGCCCGGUGCUUUGUGAUACACUUUCGAAGAGUCGAGUUGUUUGGGAAUGCAGCUCAAAUUGGGUGGUAAAUUCCAUCUAAAGCUAAAUAUUGGCGAGAGACCGAUAGCGAACAAGUACCGUGAGGGAAAGAUGAAAAGCACUUUGGAAAGAGAGUUAACAGUACGUGAAAUUGUUGGAAGGGAAACGAUUGAAGUCAGACUUGUUAUCUGGAGUUCAGCCUUUCGGUGUACUCUCCAGUUUACAGGCCAGCAUCAGUUUUCGGGGCGGGAAAAUCGUAAUUAGAAGGUAGCAGCCUAGCUGUGUUAUAGCUUUUUACUGGAUUCCGCUUUGGGGACUGAGGAACGCAGUGUGCUUUUAGCAAUACCCUCGGGUAUUUCACACUUAGGAUGCGGGUGGAAUGGCUUUAAACGACCC
rnacentral:rRNA from 1 species